rnacentral:rRNA from 1 species
AUGAACGCUGGCGGCGUGCCUAACACAUGCAAGUCGAACGAAGCAUACGGACUGGAGAUUCGUCGAAGGAUCGUAUGACUUAGUGGCGGACGGGUGAGUAAUGUAUGAGCAACCUGCCUUCAGAGGGGGACAACAGUUGGAAACGACUGCUAAUACCGCGUAAUGUAUCGUGAGGGCAUCCUCGUGAUACCAAAGGAGCAAUCCGCUGAAAGAUGGGCUCAUAUCUGAUUAGCUUGUUGGCGGGUAACGGCCCACCAAGGCGACGAUCAGUAGCCGGACUGAGAGGUUGAACGGCCACAUUGGGACUGAGAUACGGCCCAAACUCCUACGGGAGGCAGCAGUGAGGAAUAUUGGUCAAUGGGCGAGAGCCUGAACCAGCCAAGUAGCCGUGCAGGAUGACGGCCCUAUGGGUUGUAAACUGCUUUUAUACAGGGAUAAAGUCGGGGACGUGUCCUCGUUUGUAGGUACUGUAUGAAUAAGGACCGGCUAAUUCCGUGCCAGCCGCCGC